AACGGCCGUACCAUGCUGAAUAUACCGGUUCUCGUUAGAUCACCGAAGUCAAGCAUCAUUGGGCGCGGUCAGUACUUGGGUGGGUGACCACCUGGGAAACACCGCGUGCCGU
rnacentral:rRNA from 1 species